CCAUUCUCCUGCCUCAGCCUCCCAAGUAGCUGGGAUUACAGGUGCCCGCCACCACACCCAGCCAGCAUGUCCACCGCAUCUGUAAAUCAUCCAGAGAAGCAGGAGUGUUCUCCUCCCUCCCACCCCGGUACCAAACUGCUCAUCGCCUCCACCCACUAAUGACCCGGCGAUUGGCUUCUCAUUAAAGAAAUGACAAAGAGGCCUCUGUGCUUUUAGCUGGGGUCUAAUCAGCCUCAGGUCUGCCCCAGAGUCAGUCUGGAGAAGGAAUUCCAGGUGGCUUACCUCAUAGUGGCAAAAGGGCUGCAGGAGCUCUAGGACUCACAUGCAUCCUCCGUCAUGAACAAGAGGAGGAGGGAACCACCCAGGAAGGUCGCUCCUAAAACCCUGACCCACAGAAACUGAACUAACACAUGUUUAUGGUUGUUUUAAAGCAGUCGGUUUUGAGGUCGUCUGUUACUCCACAAGAUGUAAUGAAUGCAGCAGUUCUCCAUUCCCAGGCUUUCCUGCAGUUGACUGAGUUCUCCGGUGACUGUGAGCAGGACUGAUUAGUGCCACUUGCAGGCCCACCCAUAUGAACUUCCCUCCAAUACCUGUGCAGCCUCCAUGUCCCGUCCUGCUGGCUUCAGGUCCCCUAGGCCAGCCAUGGGGGCCACAAACUGAAGACAAGAGGAAGAAGUCUGGGGCCCUCAUCGUGGCAGGAGGAGAGCUGCCCAGGAAUACUGCCUGACCAGAGACACCACAUGAAUGACUCCAUGAGCAGGAAAUAAAUCUUCAUGUUUAAGCCA